rnacentral:lncRNA from 1 species
AUAUAAAGGCACGACCUCAUUGCUACCAUGCAAUUGAGUUUUUAACUAGUAUACAUGUCAUAAUUCUUAAUUAUACAUUCGUCGCAUGAAUAACAUAAAAUAUAAAUUAGCUUGUGAGUCCGGUUGUGAGUAAAAACUUAAUGUGAAGUUUGUAUCCACUAGUAGGUUAAAAAUUUUGAACCGAAUCAAGAUUUGUUGUGUCUACAAACCUGAAUAUCCGCUUCCUUCAAUAAUGAGACUUCGUAUCGUUUAGGUUAAAAUAUGCCAGGGUUUCGGU